rnacentral:rRNA from 1 species
AUUGAACGCUGGCGGAAUGCUUUACACAUGCAAGUCGAACGGCAGCACGGACUUCGGUCUGGUGGCGAGUGGCGAACGGGUGAGUAAUGUAUCGGAACGUGCCCAGUCGUGGGGGAUAACGUAGUGAAAAUUUCGCUAAUACCGCAUACGAUCUAUGGAUGAAAGCGGGGGAUCGCAAGACCUCGCGCGAUUGGAGCGGCCGAUAUCAGAUUAGGUAGUUGGUGGGGUAAAGGCCCACCAAGCCAACGAUCUGUAGCUGGUCUGAGAGGACGACCAGCCACACUGGAACUGAGACACGGUCCAGACUCCUACGGGAGGCAGCAGUGGGGAAUUUUGGACAAUGGGCGAAAGCCUGAUCCAGCCAUUCCGCGUGCAGGAUGAAGGCCCUCGGGUUGUAAACUGCUUUUGUACAGAACGAAAAGGUUUCUACUAAUACUGGGAGCUCAUGACGGUACUGUAAGAAUAAGCACCGGCUAACUACGUGCCAGCAGCCGCAGUAA